UUUUAAAGAAUACAAAUAAACCUUGUAAGAUAACUGUGUAACAUUUUGAUAAACAGUUUGUAUGUUGUUUUCAGACCAGACAUUCUAUAGAGAAAGUUUUAGACUGGGAAAAUAGUCACCUAUACCAUAAGCUUGGCCUACAUUGGAGGUUAUCUAAACAAAGAUGUGAUAGUAGUAGUAUGAUGGAAUAUGUAUUAAUUGUAGAAUAUAUACCAAAAGUGUCUAUAUUUCGUCCAGACUGACAUCACUAUGUGUACUGAUAAUGGAUUAUUUUGUCUCAGAAACUGAAUUAUCAAACAGAUGACAGUGAUACCUAGAUAUAAAAAUAGAACAUGUACAGUGUAGACUGGGGCGGCUAGAAUAGAAACACUGGUGCUUUCUUCAACUUUCAUACAGUAAACAAUGUGUAAUCUCACAACUUUCACUUUUAUAUUUGAGCCGCGUCAUGACAAAACCAACAUAGUGCAUUUGCAACCAGCAUGGAUCCAGACCAGUCUGCGCAUCCGCUCAGUCUGAUCAGGAUCCAUGCUGUUUGCUAUCAGUAUCUCUAUUUGUUAUAGGGUUUGUAAGCAAACAGCAUGAAUCCUGAUCAGACUGCAUGGAUGCAUGCUGGUCGCAAACGCACUAUGUUGGUUUUGUCAUGGCGCGGCUCAUUUAUACAUCAGGGUAUUGGACAGUUUCUUACAAUUUAUUGAUAAAUGAUUGCACAUCACCUUGAGUUUCAUCUUAUCAUGAAAUAAAUAACACUGCUUAAAAUGUUAUAAUAUAAUGUUGAUAUUUUAACAGCCUCAUCUAAAGCAUAUUGUCUAAAG